rnacentral:rRNA from 1 species
UACGUAGGGUGCGAGCGUUAAUCGGAAUUACUGGGCGUAAAGCGAGCGCAGGCGGUUCGCCAAGUCAGGUGUGAAAUCCCCGGGCUUAACCUGGGAAUUGCGCUUGAAACUAGCGGGCUUGAGUGUGGCAGAGGGGGGUGGAAUUCCACGUGUAGCAGUGAAAUGCGUAGAGAUGUGGAGGAACACCGAUGGCGAAGGCAGCCCCCUGGGUCAACACUGACGCUCAUGCACGAAAGCGUGGGGAGCAAACAGG